GAGGCAAUUAUCUAAAGUGCCUUGUAAUCUCUUUACAUACAGUGCCUAAUAUAAAAGUUCCUCCAGUUCCAAGACCGCCAUUCUACUACCCUCCUCUACCGUUGCCAUUGCCAGUGCCUAAUAUAAAAGUUCCUCCAGUUCCAAGACCGCCAUUCUACUACCCUCCUCUACCGUUGCCAUUGCCAGUGCCUAAUAUAAAAGUUCCUCCAGUUCCAAGACCGCCAUUCUACUACCCUCCUCUACCGUUGCCAUUGCCAG